CUUCUAAUGUUCUGGGAAUUACAUCUCCUCUCAGGAGGACAAUAACUUUACGGUACUUCAACCUCCCUUGAGGAUACCGCCAUUAACAAUCUGAGCUGCUAAUUUAACUACCAAUGAUAA